rnacentral:rRNA from 1 species
AACCUCAAUUAGCCACCCUGAACAAGCCUGAUUCCAUCUGAUCUCGGAAGCUAAGCAGAGUCAGGCCUGGUUACUUGGAUGGGAGACCACCUAAGAAGACCAGAUGCUGUAGGCA